UAAUAAUGUUUAUCGGUUUACUGAUAAUACAGGUUUAAUAAAAGUUAAAAUUCCGCAUUUAUUUUCGAGUCCCCCCUUUUGUCUUUGCAUUCUGAACUUUGACCGUGUCUGUCACGUGACGUUACCGUAUUGUGACGUCACUUCUCAAUUUUCUAACGUUUGAAUGGGAAGCUUUUUCAAUCCCACCCACCGACCCCGACAUUCUCCUAUUUUGGAUUAUUUUUUCUGCUGUUGUUUUGAUGGUUUUUUAGGUAUAUGCUUAGUGAGAUUAGGAAGACCGGGAAC
rnacentral:lncRNA from 1 species